GAGACACCUUUCUGGGGCAAGACUUGCUUCAGUGGGGCUUUGGUGCUUACUGAGUCUGCCCCCUGAGUGUGUCCCU
rfam:Myotis lucifugus cont2.18345, whole genome shotgun sequence.